AUUGAACGCUGGCGGCAUGCCUUACACAUGCAAGUCGAACGGUAACGGGCCUUCGGGUGCCGACGAGUGGCGAACGGGUGAGUAAUGCAUCGGAACGUACCUUUCAGUGGGGGAUAACGUAGCGAAAGUUACGCUAAUACCGCAUAUUCUGUGGGCAGGAAAGCAGGGGAUCGACAGCCCUUGCGCUGAUUGAGGGGCUGAUGUCAGAUUAGGUAGUUGGUGAGGUAAAGGCUAACCAAGGCGACGAGCUGUGGCGGGUCUGAGAGGAUGAUCCGCCACACUGGAACUGAGACACGGUCCAGACUCCUACGGGAGGCAGCAGUGGGGAAUUUUGGACAAUGGGGGCAACCCUGAUCCAGCCAUGCCGCGUGAGUGAAGAAGGCCUUCGGGUUGUAAAGCUCUUUCGGCCGGGAAGAAAUCGCACGGGCUAAUACCCUGUGUGGAUGACGGUACCGGAAUAAGAAGCACCGGCUAACUACGUGCCAGCAGCCGCCGUAACAC
rnacentral:rRNA from 1 species